GUCAAGACUGGGCCAAGAAAUAUCUCAAGACUGAUUUUUCUAAGGUUUUAUGGACUGAUGAAAUGAGAGUGAGUCUUGAUGGGCCAGAUGGAUGGGCCCGUGGCUGGAUUGGUAAAGGGCAGAGAGCUCAGACGCCAGCAAGGUGGAGGUGGAGUACUGGUUUGGGCUGGUAUCAUCAAAGAUGAGCUUGUGGGGCCUUUUCGGGUUGAGGAUGG
rnacentral:lncRNA from 1 species